UCCGUUGUAUCUCUGAUAAAGUCAAGUUAGAGCCAGAAGCUUAAACAUUUUUGGCCAAAUACAUCAUAGGUGGUGAUAGGUACUUCAUAUUGCAACACACCAGAGACACUUGCCAAAACUAAGUUUGCUCAUUUGAUUCCGAUGGUGACUGCUAGAGCUCCCCAUCAUAAAGGUCCGUUAUACAACUACUUGGCCAACUACUUUUGAAAAUGUAGUCCUAUCAUAUGUAUAUAUAAGUUCUGAAUUAAAGAGAAAAUUGAAACAAUUAUAGGUUGUUCGAAAAGUGAUGAUGAAAUUGUGUAUCAGAACUUGUAGAAUGUGCCUGGAGCUCUGUUCCUUGGAAAAUGCCUUUUAAAGUGUCUUGGAGAAAACCAAGAUGCAUCUGGCUAAAUGGAGGGCCAGACCUAUCCCUUCUUUUCCCCAGUAUCUACAUGGUCCCUGUCACACUGAACUAAGAAGCCAUCAAAAUAACAAACCCUAAGCCAAUAUACAGAAACCAUUUAUACCACUAAAAUUGUCCCAGAACUUCUGAAGUUAUGUGUCAAAAAUUACCAGUACUGAAUAGUGCUUGAGAAAUCGUGGGAAUCCCUGGUUAAAGAAGCUUAUGAAGUAGCACUUACUAAAUCUCUCAAGGAAAAAUCAAACGCACCGUAUCAAUUUAUUGGAAAACUAACGAGUAUUCUAGUGAAGAAAGUUGUUCAACUUCCUUUAAGUUGGUGUAUCUCAAACUGUGCCAUGGAAAUACAGAUUCCCAUUACGUAUUUCCACCUUAGGGAUAUGAAACUGCAUUGGCAAAUGCUGCCAUAACUAGAGGCCCUAAAGUUGGGCGUUUCGGUCACCAAACCUGCCUGGGAGCUAUGAGGGAACGGGCAGUUGGCAUCAUGCUCUCAAACAAUUGCCUUCUAAUGUUUUCUCUUACUCGUGAGUAAAACUCUUUGUUGUAGCUAAGUCGAAAUGGCUCCCGAGUCUUACCAAAUGUCAUUUCAGCCUCCCUUCCUGCUAUGUAUAGUAUUUAAUUUGUUAACAUGAUAGUUUAUAUUGACAGAUUCUCUUGAAUCUUUUUCCCAUUCCCGGAUAAACCCAGGUUAAUUGUGUAUAUAUUUUGAUGUAUUUUAUUUGAUAUAUUUAUUUUACUUUGAUAUAUAUUUUGUAUGUAUUUUGAUGCACUGCUGGAUUUCAUUUGCUCCCACUUAGAAUAUUGACAUCUUAUGAGUGAGAUUACAUAAUAGUGUUAUUUUUAAGAUAUAUAUAUGUAUAUGUAUAUACUUGUGUUGCAAUUACCUGUUCUUUAAAACUGUAUUGGGGUGUUUUGAGUUGGAGAUCUUUAAUCACAUUUCUAGUUCUAUCUGGUUGAUUUUUCUUGUCUUUGAAAUUCUGCUUUGGACACAACAAAUUCAGAGUGCCCAGCAUAGUUCCUUUAAGGAGACUUUUCAGCCAUGUAGUACCGGUCAUGAUCCACAUAAAACGAGCAUUCCAACAUGGCCCCUCAUUGAAAAUCCUUCAUUAUGUGUUCUUGGGAAUACUAUGUUGGGAAGUCAGAGCUCCUCAUCAGACUAUUAUGAUCAUACUUGUACAUGUCUUUCUCCAUAUACUGGAAGUGGAGUUGUUUGGGUUUGGUCAGGGAUAUGCUUGUGUUCAACUUUAAUUCUUCUAAAUACAUUCUCAAACAAGUGUACCAACUGGCACUCCCACCAACAGUUGUAUGAAUGUUCUGCUUUCUCUAUAUCCUUGACAACAUUUGGCAUCAGUUUAAAACAAUGUUUGCUACUCUGAGUCAGAGAAGCCUACUCUUUUAACUCCUGGAAUUCUGUUAGUUUCAAGGAUGAGAAGGUCAAGGUUGGCAAUGUGGAAAUGAAGUCAAAGGUGUGGUGCUCCAGCUAUGCUGUUAAAAUGUGGAUCCCUUGGAAUUUUAAGGUUUCCUCUAUUAGGGAAGCUGAGUUCAGAGAAGCCAGAGCUGAGAGAGGAAAAAGAGGCCUUGAGACCUUGUGUAUCUCGGAACUCCAAAAAUUAUUUAAGGAGGAGCUGUCCCUUCUUCCCCAGGAAAAGAUGUCUUAAACAGAACAAAGAUGCAAUAACCGUAAAGAAAAAGACUGAUUAAAAUUAAGACCUUCUCUUCAUUAUAAGAUAUCAUGAAUAAAGUGAGUCAGAAGCUCUAGGCUAAUGAAAGACAUUCUUUCUUUUUCUGAUCUCAGGUACACACACACACACACACACACACACAGGCAUGCAUAUGCUUACAUACACACACAAAGGACUUGUAUUCAAUACGUAUAUAAUUCCUACAAAUCAACAGGAA